UUUCAUUUUGAGAGUGAAAACGAGAAUAAAUGGCAGCUGUGGCAUUCCUCUGUGGGCAAGGAACUGUCUGUCACACAACCAAACACCUCUUUCUUAGCAAAACAGAAAGUGGGCACGUGUGUGACAAACACAA
rnacentral:snoRNA from 1 species